rnacentral:rRNA from 1 species
ACUCCUACGGGAGGCAGCAGUGGGGAAUUUUGGACAAUGGGCGCAAGCCUGAUCCAGCCAUGCCGCGUGAGUGAAGAAGGCCUUCGGGUUGUAAAGCUCUUUCGGCCGGGAAGAAAUCGCAUUCUCUAAUAUAGGAUGUGGAUGACGGUACCGGACUAAGAAGCACCGGCUAACUACGUGCCAGCAGCCGCGGUAAU